AUUAAGAAAAUUGAAUGAGGCAAGAUCUUACAGUACGUACCAGGUAGAAAAACAGCUGCAGAAUGAAAGCGCACUGAACAGUCAGGUAAGCAAGUGCUGACUUCCUUAAUUUUCCAGAAGUGUGGAUGUUCUGUGUGCGUGUGUUUAUACGUAUUUUAUUUUAUUUUUUCUAUACAAAAAUAUUUAAUUUAAUUUCUGCAUUUAUUAGAGCUGCUCGGGAUCAUGAAAAAGUGGUAUGGGCGGUGUAUGCGCCAUAUUUUAGAAGGGAAUAAAGGGUUUCCUAUAGGUUUAAGUGAGAUUUAUUUAAAUAAUAUAUAAAUCGACAUAAUUUCACCAAUCGGCAUCAUAAAUUAUUAGUAUUUGAUAUAGUUGUUUGUAAAUAGAAAUAAAAUAAGACCAAAAUGUAAAUUAUGAUGCUCUGAGAAAUCGAAUAUUAGUUUAAAUAGUAAAUUUAAAAUUUAUAUUCGAACUAUUUCAUAAGUUAAUAUUAAUACUAUCUGAAAUUUUAUUUUAGUAAUGUUGUAAUAAUUGCAAGAUUACGAAAUUUAAUUUUGAUUAAUAGAAACAAAAAUCGAAGUCAACUUAAUUUGUUGAGUAAGUGCAAAGUCAUCUUAAUUAUUGUGGAUCCCUAUGAAAUUAAGAAAUUUAUUAUUUGAACUAUAAAAUUAUAAAAUGUAAAAGUAAAUAAAUUUCGUAGUUAAAUGAAAAGGAUAAGCCGUUUGGUAUAAGCCAACCAUGCAAGUCCUAGGAAAAUUCCACGGCUUCUACAUGUCCCUGUAAUAUGACUUUUGCUUUACUUAUAUUUCUUGGAGAAGAGAUCAACUCCUCUAAAAAUUCUUUUAAUCAAACAAAGUACAUUAGAAAAAGUUUGAAACGUGUUCAAAUAUUUUUUUAUCAAUUUCGAAAAUAGUUUUUGACCUUUCAAAAAUCCUAACAAAUGGCCUAUAAUUGAUGAGACAAUAGGAUGGAACCAUUGUCAUUUCAAUCCCCCUUCUUUUCUUUUUUUUUUUCCAUUCCCCAAGCCUAUGAGAAAAGCUCGAUUUACAUGAUCUAUUUGUGGUCUCUUUCAAAAUAUGUCAGCA
rnacentral:lncRNA from 1 species